UGGGGAAUUUUGGACAAUGGGGGCAACCCUGAUCCAGCAAUGCCGCGUGUGUGAAGAAGGCCUUCGGGUUGUAAAGCACUUUUGUCCGGAAAGAAAACUUCGGGGCUAAUACCCCUGGAGGAUGACGGUACCGGAAGAAUAAGCACCGGCUAACUACGUGCCAGCAGCCGCGGUAAUACGUAGGGUGCGAGCGUUAAUCGGAAUUACUGGGCGUAAAGCGUGCGCAGGCGGUGCUGUAAGACCGAUGUGAAAUCCCCGGGCUUAACCUGGGAACUGCAUUGGUGACUGCAGCACUAAAGUAUGGCAGAGGGGGAUGGAAUUCCACGUGUAGCAGUGAAAUGCGUAGAGAUGUGGAGGCACACCGAUGGCGAAGGCAGCCCCCUGGGCCAAUACUGACGCUCAUGCACGAAAGCGUGGGGAGCAAACAGG
rnacentral:rRNA from 1 species